rnacentral:piRNA from 2 species
UGCACUGGCCUGGAAAUUUAUGACACGUGU